rnacentral:miRNA from 1 species
AUUUUUGGAGAAUCUGACACGGGU